rnacentral:rRNA from 1 species
UGGCUCAGGACGAACGCUGGCGGCGUGCUUAACACAUGCAAGUCGAGCGGUAAGGCCUUCGGGGUACACGAGCGGCGAACGGGUGAGUAACACGUGGGUGAUCUGCCCUGCACUCUGGGAUAAGCUUGGGAAACUGGGUCUAAUACCGGAUAUGACCGCAUGCCGCAUGGUGUGUGGUGGAAAGAUUUAUCGGUGCAGGAUGGGCCCGCGGCCUAUCAGCUUGUUGGUGGGGUAAUGGCCUACCAAGGCGACGACGGGUAGCCGACCUGAGAGGGUGACCGGCCACACUGGGACUGAGACACGGCCCAGACUCCUACGGGAGGCAGCAGUGGGGAAUAUUGCACAAUGGGCGGAAGCCUGAUGCAGCCGACGCCGCGUGAGGGAUGAAGGCCUUCGGGUUGUAAACCUCUUUCAGCAGGGACGAAGCGUGAGUGACGGUACCUGCAGAAGAAGCACCGGCUAACUACGUGCCAGCAGCGGC